rnacentral:rRNA from 1 species
AGUGAACGCUGGCGGUAGGCCUAACACAUGCAAGUCGGACGGCAGCACAGUAAGAGCUUGCUCUUACGGGUGGCGAGUGGCGGACGGGUGAGGAAUACAUCGGAAUCUACUUUUUCGUGGGGGAUAACGUAGGGAAACUUACGCUAAUACCGCAUACGACCUACGGGUGAAAGCAGGGGAUCUUCGGUCCUUGCGCGAUUGAAUGAGCCGAUGUCGGAUUAGCUAGUUGGCGGGGUAAAGGCCCACCAAGGCGACGAUCCGUAGCUGGUCUGAGAGGAUGAUCAGCCACACUGGAACUGAGACACGGUCCAGACUCCUACGGGAGGCAGCAGUGGGGAAUAUUGGACAAUGGGCGCAAGCCUGAUCCAGCCAUACCGCGUGGGUGAAGAAGGCCUUCGGGUUGUAAAGCCCUUUUGUUGGGAAAGAAAAGCAGCAGGUUAAUACCCCGCUGUUCUGACGGUACCCAAAGAAUAAGCACCGGCUAACUUCGUG